rnacentral:rRNA from 1 species
UAACCUGCCCAAGAGACUGGGAUAACACCUGGAAACAGAUGCUAAUACCGGAUAACAACACUAGACGCAUGUCUAUAGUUUAAAAGAUGGUUCUGCUAUCACUCUUGGAUGGACCUGCGGUGCAUUAGCUAGUUGGUAAGGCAACGGCUUACCAAGGCAAUGAUGCAUAGCCGAGUUGAGAGACUGAUCGGCCACAUUGGGACUGAGACACGGCCCAAACUCCUACGGGAGGCAGCAGGA